rnacentral:rRNA from 1 species
AACGAACGCUGGCGGCAUGCCUAACACAUGCAAGUCGAACGAGACCUUCGGGUCUAGUGGCGCACGGGUGCGUAACGCGUGGGAACCUGCCCUUAGGUUCGGAAUAACUCCCCGAAAGGGGUGCUAAUACCGGAUAAUUUCUUCGGACCAAAGAUUUAUCGCCUUUGGAUGGGCCCGCGUUGGAUUAGCUUGUUGGUAGGGUAAAAGCCUACCAAGGCGACGAUACAUAGCUGGUAUGAGAGGAUGAUCAGCCACACUGGGACUGAGACACGGAACAGACUACUACGGGAGGCAGGAGUGGGGAAUAUUGGAAAAUGGGCGAAAGCCUGAACAAGCAAUGACGCGUGAGUGAUGAAGGCCUUAGGGUAGUAAAGCUCUUUUACACGGGAUGAUAAUGACAGUACCGGGAGAAUAAGCGCCGGCUAACUACGUG